rnacentral:lncRNA from 8 species
AUGCCACGCUUUAUGUCUCUCUCAAAUGUUAAUAUGCCUUGUAUACUGUUGUUUAGGAUAGUUAUCAUUGUUUUAGUUUGCUGCGGAGCCCCUAGUCCCACUCAACAUGCCUCAGAUACCUCCUUUGUCCCACCUCCCACACAUGCGGUGACCUCAACCAGCACAACUGCGUCCAGAGAUGCAACCUCUCUUAUCGUCACUCACUGCCUGGGUUUACCUCCACUGUACCCGCACCCUACCAUACCCCUGUCUGUACAUUAUGCCCUGAACCUAUCCUACCAUGCCCAGAAAUCUGGUCCUUUCAUUCUCUGUCCCCAAUGCACUAGACAACCAGUUUUGAUGGCCUUUAGCCGUACCCUCAUCCUACUCCUCCUCUGUUCCUCAGGUGAUGUGGAUGUUAACCCAGGCCCUGUGUGUCCCCAGGCGCUCUCAUUUGUUGACUUCUGUAACCGAAAAAGCCUUGGUUUCAUGCAUGUUAACAUCAGAAGCCUCCUCCCUAAGUUUGUUUUACUCACUGCUUUAGCACACUCCGCAAACCCUGAUGUCCUUGCCAUGUCUGAAUCCUGGCUUAGGAAGGCUACCAAAAAUUCGGAGAUUUCCAUCCCCAACUACAACAUUUUCCGUCAAGAUAGAACUGCCAAAGGAGGAGGAGUUGCAAUCUACUGCAGAGAUAGCCUGCAAAGUUCUGUCAUACUUUCCAGGUCUAUGCCCAAACAGUUCGACCUUGUAAUUAAAAAAAUUAAUCUCUCCAGAAAUAAGUCUCCCACUGUUUCCGCCUGUUAUAGACCCCCCUCAGCUCCCAGCUGUGCCCUGGACACCAUAUGUGAAUUGAUAACCCCCCAUCUAUCUUCAGAUUUCGUUCUGUUAGGUGACCUAAACUGGGAUAUGCUUAACACCCCGGCAGUCCUACAAUCUAAGCUAGAUGCCCUCAAACUCACACAAAUGAUCAAGGAACCCACCAGGUACAACCCUAAAUCCUUAAACAUGGGCACCCUCAUAGAUAUUAUCCUGACCAACUUGCCCUCGAAAUACACCUCUGCUGUUUUCAAUCAGGAUCUCAGCGACGGUGUGUGUCCGCGAUCAACCCACCACCCCUCAUCAGGUACAACAGGUACAACCCUAAAUCUGUAA